UUGAACGCUGGCGGCAGGCCUAACACAUGCAAGUCGAGCGCGAAAGUUCUUCGGAAUGAGUAAAGCGGCGGACGGGUGAGUAACGCGUGGGAAUCUGCCUAGUAGUGGGGGACAACAGCCGGAAACGGCUGCUAAUACCGCAUACGCCAUACGGGGGAAAGGGGGGGAUCUUCGGACCUCUCGCUAUCAGAUGAGCCCGCGUCGGAUUAGCUCGUUGGUAGGGUAAAGGCCUACCAAGGCUACGAUCCGUAACUGGUCUGAGAGGAUGAUCAGUCACACUGGAACUGAGACACGGUCCAGACUCCUACGGGAGGCAGCAGUGGGGAAUAUUGGACAAUGGGGGCAACCCUGAUCCAGCCAUGCCGCGUGUGUGAAGAAGGCCUUAGGGUUGUAAAGCACUUUCAGUGGGGAGAAAGGUUUGUCACCUAAUACGUGAUGAAAUUGAUGUUACCCACAGAAGAAGCACCGGCUAACUCCGUGCCAGCCGCCGCAGUAA
rnacentral:rRNA from 1 species